UGAGGAAUAUUGGUCAAUGGGCGGGAGCCUGAACCAGCCAAGCCGCGUGAGGGAAGAAGGCCCUAUGGGUCGUAAACCUCUUUUGUCAGGGAACAAAAGCGAGUAUGUAUACUAGUCUGAGUGUACCUGAAGAAAAAGCAUCGGCUAACUCCGUGCCAGCAGCCGCGGUAAUACGGAGGAUGCGAGCGUUAUCCGGAUUUAUUGGGUUUAAAGGGUGCGUAGGCGGCGAUGCAAGUCAGCGGUAAAAGCCCGGGGCUCAACCCCGGCGAGCCGUUGCAAACUGCAGUGCUAGAGAAGGCGAGAGGUACGCGGAAUGUGCAGUGUAGCGGUGAAAGAUGCUUAGAUAUUGCGCAGAACUCCGAUUGCGAAGGCAGCGUACUGGCGCCUGACUGACGCUGAGGCACGAAAGCGUGGGGGAUCGAACAGGAUUAGAUACC
rnacentral:rRNA from 1 species